UUUACUCUUGAGGUUUUAAUAAGGCCUUCUUUUUUCUCAAAAAAAAAAAAAAAAAGUGUCCCCACAAAAAAAAGUGUGAAACCCUUCAUUAUAUCACACAAGUCUCUCUCGUCUCUCCCAGUCCAAAAGAAAGAGCUCUCUCACCUCUAUGUGUCAUAGAAAAGGAUUGUAAUGAUAUCAAGUUUGGAGUGGGCAAUCAAGUUGAUUUCUAUGCUAUCUCAUUUGUGAAAGAUGCUAAAGGGGGCCCUUGUGGUGAAGCAUGGCAAAGAGUAUAAUGCAAUGAGUCUCAAAUAUUGAGUAUAUUCGGUAUCCUCUAUCAAUUUAUUUAUUAAUUGAUACGUCUUAGUGUUGUCACAAUUCAUUUUCUUAGGGUUGUAUGUAUACCAAUAUCCUUUUGAAAUACUAGUAAUUUCACGGACUUGUUGGAGUUUAGAGCAUAAUAAAAAUGCUUAGUGUUAUUCUUUUGGAGUUUAGGAAGUUCUUUGUUUCUCAUAUGUAAUGCACAUUAGGUGUUUGAGAAAAUGCCUCAUAAAGUGCUAUGUAUUUAUAAUGCCCAAAAUUGUUUGAGAAAAUACCUCAGACAACAAGACAAUGCUUGAUGUUGGUAUGAAAGUAAAUGAUUUCUCUUUCU